rnacentral:rRNA from 1 species
UACGAAGGGGGCUAGCGUUGCUCGGAAUUACUGGGCGUAAAGGGCGCGUAGGCGGCUCUGUUAGUCAGGCGUGAAAGCCCUGGGCUCAACCUGGGGACUGCGCUUGAUACGGCGGGGCUUGAGGGCAGGAGAGGCUCGCGGAAUUCCCAGUGUAGAGGUGAAAUUCGUAGAUAUUGGGAAGAACACCGGUGGCGAAGGCGGCGAGCUGGCCUGUUACUGACGCUGAGGCGCGACAGCGUGGGGAGCAAACAGGAUUAGAAACCCCCGUAGUCC